GUUCGCUACUGUUGCCCGCGUAACUUUGUUGCGCUAUAUAUUGCUGCCCGGCGUAUAAGUUAUUUUCUUGCGGCAUCUUUUGCAACGGCCUUACAACAGACGACCUCAGAUUCUGCGUUACUGUGGUAGAAGUCAUCAGCAAAGGUAUUGCAAAGUUGGGGACGAAGUCGACUGACUCUGGUUGAGGAAACUCUGUUCGUAACAGGGCAAAUCUUGCUGCAACUGUUGAUUCUGUUGCUGCCAAACCUCGUCGAAAUGUGGAAGCGAUGUGUGCUGUUUGCCCUGUUUCGGCUUAAGCUGUUUUAUACCGUACGAACAAAUGUUGGCGGAAUUACACGUCAUAUCGAGCAUGUUUCUGGGCACUUCUAGUUUUCACUUAGUGAAAUGUUCGCACUGAUGUGUGUGUGGAACAGCUUUGGAAUCUCGCGCAACACCAUUGCAACAAAGGAACACUUACGAUGUGCACCGAUAUAACUGCCGUAUGGGUAUCCGCGUAACCAUUGUCGAUGUAUGAACAGUCGCGAAAUAUUAUCACGUUAGCAUUUACCACUGUACUAACUGUUUGUGUUCACGUGUUACUCAUAUAUUCCUCGUUGCUACAGCUCGAAUCGAAGUAAACAGCAAGGCGACUUUAAGCAGAAUGAAACGGAAAACUACCUAGCUGGCUACCUAACCUAUAUCUUUUCUCUGUGUCUCCGUGUCCAUCACGUUUGUCCUAGGAUGGAGCGUAACUGUGAAAGAGGCAACCCUGCAAACUUUCCAUGGUUUAUGACUGGACCGUACGGACAGAAGUUGCGAACAACGGUAGUGGGGAAUGAGCUACCCUUAGUGUGUGAGUCUAUACCUCUCGUCGAAUCGAGGCAACGCAGGGGAGCUUUUCCUCUAUCAGCUGCCUUUUGAUUCACCACUAAGGCCACCCCCGAUAUACAUUCGACUUUCGAUCUGCCGUUCAUGCCGCAGUCCCCUCCCACUAUUAAUGCAAUUGACACAGAACCCAUAUUGGGUCCCCCUUCCAACCCGACCUCGCACAAUGUACGUUGCCAUGUGCGAACGUACGUCGUUUUCGUCGUAGGGUCGUUGCUCUGCUCCGUCAAUUUAUAAUCAGCUUACUGUCUCAAUAAGAGACUUUUAUUCUGAUCGUAUCUUUGUUGCAUUUUUUUCAUUAAAACGUACGGGAGCAGAACAAGAGACACGAGUGAAAAAAGAGGAGAUAGAGUGAGACAGUAUCAAGGAAGAUGUAUUCAUUAAACACGUGACGAACAAGGUGUCGAUAACGGGGCUGGGAUUACAAAAACAGCUCGAAAAUAAUUAUCCUUAACGAAAGAUAAUAGGCGGUCUUGCGGACAAACUAUAAAUAGUAACGCACGGCCGAAAAAGUGAUUAAUGAUACGUUCGGAGCGGUGACCAAACCUACGGGGAUUCCAAACGGCCGAUCAGGACGGACAUGCGUCUGCACGCAUCCGUACACGUCACACGUAUACGAUCGAAUGAGGCUGGAGGAACAUUUCGAUACGGAAUUUACGCCUGUGGAUGCGAAAUGCAUUCUGUGCUAGCUGACUGGAACGAUAAUAAUAAAUAAUAAUCCACGAAGGGCGACACUUGUGGGAAGGGACGAGAAUACUGGAAUUGUGAGAGCAUUUUCUAAUGAUUUUGGCUCUUGAUAUUAUUUUUGUAAUUCUGCAACAUCUCGUUGAUGCUUAAUAUAUGCUACGGGAAAAUAAUAAAACAAUUGUAUACUGCACGGACAAUUUCAUUAGUAAAAAUUAUCGUGGCUGAGGAAUAUUCUGCAAUAAUCGAUUUUCAUUUCAUAUGUGCUACUUAUAUUUCAGGAAUUAAAAUGUGCUAUUUAUACUUUAUAAACUUGUAAAAUAUCAUAUAUAUUAACUGACUAUAAAAAUAGAUUUAUCUUUCUAUUUCAGACUGACAGUUUGCACCAAACUGAAUUUAACACGCUAACAUCGUUUAACAAUUUCAACAACUAUGAAUAUAUAGACAUCUAUCCCAUUUUACCUGUGCAGGUAUAAGACAGUGUGUUGCGAAACCUAAGAACUAUACAGAAACGGCCUACAAAGGAUUCUCCAUACAUUCUUUUGUAUCGAAAAGUCGACUCGAAAGUCGACUCGAAAGUCUAGAGUAUAAUGAUGUGGAGUUGAAGACAUUUUCCCAGAAAUUUUCGCUCUUCGUCGAAUGUUCUCGUAUUGUAUGGAAUGGCGCAAAAUCUCACAAAGCGACAUAUGUGCUGUCCCUAUUCAAUUCUCCGCUGCACGAACGACGAUCAGAGUGGGGCACUUUCGGUAGCGCA